UACGAAGGGGGCUAGCGUUGCUCGGAAUCACUGGGCGUAAAGGGUGCGUAGGCGGGUUUUUAAGUCAGGGGUGAAAUCCUGGAGCUCAACUCCAGAACUGCCUUUGAUACUGAAGAUCUUGAGUCCGGGAGAGGUGAGUGGAACUGCGAGUGUAGAGGUGAAAUUCGUAGAUAUUCGCAAGAACCCCAGUGGCGAAGGCGGCUCACUGGCCCGGUACUGACGCUGAGGCACGAAAGCGUGGGGAGCAAACAGG
rnacentral:rRNA from 1 species